rnacentral:lncRNA from 1 species
AAUGUGAGUUAAUAAAACCUUUGGGGGAGACAAGAGACUUGCAGAGGCACUGGCACAGUACCUAAGACAAAUGUAUGAAUUCCUUUCUUCUGAACAAGAUUAAAGGGGGACAGAAAUUAAAAGCUUUUUUGGUUUGUUUUUACAGAGCUAAGAAUUUUGAUAAUUUUCCUUGCAGAAAUGGAAUUUUUUUUUCUUUUCAUCAUCAAAAAACUCACUGUUAGAGCAGUCUUCUCCAGCUGCAGUUUGUCCAGGCCUUGUCACUUUCUGCAUUUCCUUCCAGAGACUUUUGUGUCAUUGGUUUUCCAGUGUUGGAGAAAACUGCACAUAUAUUGAUUUCCAGGAAAAACUUGAGUUUUUUAGCCUCAUGGGCCAGCGCUGUUGGUUUCUUGGCCUUUUCUACUUGUUUCUUGAAUUCUGCCCUUGAAAAUUCUAUAACUCACACUCUAUAAGCAACCUGGAGAUGGGUAUACUUAAUUAAUACUGUUUACACACUUCCUCUGUGUUCUUAAUUCCUACCCCAUUUUACUUUGACUUCCCAUGCCCCAACCCUUUUUAAAAAUAUUUUCUAAUAGUCCCUUAAAGUUUUUUGGAAUAAGAUAGAAACUCCUACACUUAAAAUCUGUCCUAAAAAGAAUAAAGAGAUUUUAUUUUGGCUGUC